CAACAAACUAAUUUCAAAAUGUCAAUUCAAAAGAAAAAAAAAACAUCUCAUUGAAGACGUAUACGGACCUCAAUCAGCUGUUUUCCAAACUCUUAUGUGAAAAAAGAUUCUAAGAUGCUUUUCCUUGAACCGAACCUAAAACCGACGGCACGCACAAUGGCGUUUCCUCUAGCCUAGAAUGAGAUCGUGUGUCUAUAGGCUCUGAGGCUAGCUUGAAACAUUACCGGCUCAAGAACCCAGCUGAGAAUGCUUUCAGGAAUGGCCUUUCCCAUCUGUCCGGAUAACUAUUGUAACCUACAUUGAAACUACUCCUAUCGGAUGUAAAGUAUUAUGAAUUACAUUACAUUGAUUUACCCUUU